rnacentral:rRNA from 1 species
GGUUGGCUUAGAAGCAGCCACCCUUGAAAGAGUGCGUAAUAGCUCACUGGUCUAGUGAUUCCGCGCCGACAAUGUAGCGGGGCUCAAGCGUACCGCCGAAGUCGUGUCAUUGCAGCAAUACUCCCAACGGAGGCUGUGAUGGGUAGGGGAGCGUCGUGUGCCGGGUGAAGCAGCCGUGGAAACGAGUUGUGGACGGUUCACGAGUGAGAAUGCAGGCAUGAGUAGCGAUUCACACGUGAGAAACGUGUGCGCCGAUUGACUAAGGGUUCCUGGGUCAAGCUGAUCUGCCCAGGGUAAGUCGGGACCUAAGGCGAGGCCGACAGGCGUAGUCGAUGGAUAACCGGUUGAUAUUCCGGUACCCGCUGUGAAGCGUCAAACAUUGAAUCCAGUGAUGCUAAGCCCGUGAAGCCGUUCCGGACCCUUCGGGGAAUGGAAAGUGGUGGAGCCGGUGACCCGAGCUGGUAGUAGGUGAGUGAUGGGGUGACGCAGGAAGGUAGUCCAUCCCGGGCGGUGGUUGUCCCGGGGUAAGGGUGUAGGACGUCAGGUAGGUAAAUCCGCCUGGCAAUAGUCUGAGACCUGAUGCCGAGCCGAUUGUGGUGAAGUGGAUGAUCCUAUGCUGUCGAGAAAAGCCUCUAGCGAGUUUCAUGGCGGCCCGUACCCUAAACCGACUCAGGUGGUCAGGUAGAGAAUACCGAGGCGUUCGGGUGAACUAUGGUUAAGGAACUCGGCAAAAUGCCCCCGUAACUUCGGGAGAAGGGGGGCCAUGUCUGGUGAUGAGUCUUGCACUCUGAGCUGGGUGUGGCCGCAGAGACCAGCGAGAAGCGACUGUUUACUAAAAACACAGGUCCGUGCGAAGCCGUAAGGCGAUGUAUACGGACUGACGCCUGCCCGGUGCUGGAACGUUAAGGGGACCGGUUAGUCACAUUUCGGUGUGGCGAAGCUGAGAACUUAAGCGCCAGUAAACGGCGGUGGUAACUAUAACCAUCCUAAGGUAGCGAAAUUCCUUGUCGGGUAAGUUCCGACCUGCACGAAUGGCGUAACGACUUCUCGACUGUCUCAACCAUAGGCCCGGUGAAAUUGCAUUACGAGUAAAGAUGCUCGUUUCGCGCAGCAGGACGGAAAGACCCCGGGACCUUUACUACAGUUUGAUAUUGGUGUUCGGUUCGGCUUGUGUAGGAUAGGUGGGAGACUGUGAAGCAUGCACGCCAGUGUGUGUGGAGUCGUCGUUGAAAUACCACUCUGGUCGUGCUGGAUGUCUAACCUGGGUCCGUGAUCCGGAUCAGGGACAGUGUCUGAUGGGUAGUUUAACUGGGGCGGUUGCCUCCUAAAGUGUAACGGAGGCGCCCAAAGGUUCCCUCAGCCUGGUUGGUAAUCAGGUGUUGAGUGUAAGUGCACAAGGGAGCUUGACUGUGAGACCGACGGGUCGAGCAGGGACGAAAGUCGGGACUAGUGAUCCGGCGGUGGCUUGUGGAAGCGCCGUCGCUCAACGGAUAAAAGGUACCCCGGGGAUAACAGGCUGAUCUUCCCCAAGAGUCCAUAUCGACGGGAUGGUUUGGCACCUCGAUGUCGGCUCGUCGCAUCCUGGGGCUGGAGUCGGUCCCAAGGGUUGGGCUGUUCGCCCAUUAAAGCGGUACGCGAGCUGGGUUUAGAACGUCGUGAGACAGUUCGGUCCCUAUCCGCUGUGCGCGUAGGAAUAUUGAGAAGGGCUGUCCCUAGUACGAGAGGACCGGGACGGACGAACCUCUGGUGUGCCAGUUGUUCUGCCAAGGGCAUGGCUGGUUGGCUACGUUCGGGAGGGAUAACCGCUGAAAGCAUCUAAGCGGGAAGCCUGCUUCGAGAUGAGUGUUCCCACCUCCUUGAGAGGGUAAGGCUCCCAGUAGACGACUGGGUUGAUAGGCCGGAUAUGGAAGCCCUGUAAGGGGUGGAGUUGACCGGUACUAAUAGGCCGAGGGCUUGUCCUCAGUUG